rnacentral:rRNA from 1 species
AACGAACGCUGGCGGCAGGCCUAACACAUGCAAGUCGAGCGAGAUCUUCGGGUUUAGCGGCGGACGGGUGAGUAACGCGUGGGAAUAUGCCUCUUGGUACGGAAUAGCCUCGGGAAACUGGGAGUAAUACCGUAUGUGCCCUUUGGGGGAAAGAUUUAUCGCCAAGAGAUUAGCCCGCGUUGGAUUAGGUAGUUGGUGGGGUAAUGGCCUACCAAGCCGACGAUCCAUAGCUGGCUUGAGAGGAUGAUCAGCCACACUGGGACUGAGACACGGCCCAGACUCCUACGGGAGGCAGCAGUGGGGAAUCUUAGACAAUGGGGGCAACCCUGAUCUAGCCAUGCCGCGUGAGUGAUGAAGGCCUUAGGGUUGUAAAGCUCUUUCAGCUGGGAAGAUAAUGACGGUACCAGCAGAAGAAGCCCCGGCUAACUCCGUGCCAGCAGCCGCGGUAAUACGGAGGGGGCUAGCGUUGUUCGGAAUUACUGGGCGUAAAGCGCACGUAGGCGGACCAGAAAGUUGGGGGUGAAAUCCCGGGGCUCAACCCCGGAACUGCCUUCAAAACUAUUGGUCUGGAGUUCGAGAGAGGUGAGUGGAAUUCCGAGUGUAGAGGUGAAAUUCGUAGAUAUUCGGAGGAACACCAGUGGCGAAGGCGGCUCACUGGCUCGAUUCUGACGCUGAGUGCGAAAGCGUGGGGAGCAACAGG